UAGUCUGGGAUACCACUUGGAAACAGGUGCUAAUACCGGAUAAGAAAGCGGAUCGCAUGAUCAGCUUUUAAAAGGCGGCGUAAGCUGUCGCUAUGGGAUGGCCCCGCGGUGCAUUAGCUAGUUUGUAAGGUAAAGGCUUACCAAGGCGAUGAUGCAUAGCCGAGUUGAGAGACUGAUCGGCCACAUUGGGACUGAGACACGGCCCAAACUCCUACGGGAGGCAGCAGUC
rnacentral:rRNA from 1 species